rnacentral:piRNA from 1 species
UGGCAUUGCUGUCAAGACAGG